rnacentral:lncRNA from 1 species
CCCCCCCCCCCCCUUAAAGGACUUAGAUGCACUAUUGUAAAGUGGUUGUUCCACUGGAUAUCAUAAGGUGAAUGUACCAAUUUGUAAGUCGCUCUGGAUAAGAGCGUCUGCUAAAUGACUUAAAUGUAAUGUAAAUGUUUCAGGAUUCACAUGUGAGGCCAUGUGCUAAACAGUGAAUACAUUCGUGUACUAAACAGCUGAAGAUUUCAAGACUAAAGGCUGGUUUAUACUACGUCUAUCAACAUGUCUGUAUACAGUUGUCAUUCAUUAUUACAGGAAAUUCUCAACAAGAUCAUGGUAUAUCAUACACCGCAGUUGAGGAACAAUGCAAAAGUAAUUCUGCAUUGAAAGUUGAUCAACUUGGAAGAAAAUGGCCCUUGGUACAUCUACUAGACAACUCUUCUUUGCCUACACCUAUUCAGCAAUGUUCACACCCUCUUAAGCCUUAGCCGCACCCGUCUCUUUAAGGAUUCUCAUGUGAGGACGUGCUAAACGGAGUAAAUAGUUUAGUAAACAACCAAAGAUUUCAAUACAAAAAGUAGUAGCCUACAAUAAUGAAAAACUCUAGGUAAAAAUACACUUUAUCUAGUUCUUGGCCUAUAUCCUAAUCUAACUUUGAUGCAGGUCAUGUUUUUCUUUACAUUACCGUCUCUGGUAAACACAAAAACAAAGUGUCCAGAUAAAAAUAUGUUAUACAUUUUUGGAAUUUUUAGAUUACGCUUACACACUAAAUUGAUGGGUCAUGUGAAGGAAAUGCCUCUCUCUAAUGUCAAUAUGCCUUUUCUCCUGCUAUUUCGGUUAGUUCUUAUUGUUUUAUUUAACUGUAGAGCCCCCAGUCCCCCCAGCAACAUCUAGCUAAGUGGAUGGGUCACUAUUGUCUAGACAUGUACAGUAAACAUGUUCAUGAAAUACAGUAGAUGGCCGUAAUCACCUGGAUAUCUUGAUGGGUCAUGCAAUCAUAUGGCGAAGUGGAGUCUUUUGUUUAGACAUGUGAACAUGUUUAGACAUGUAUAGACAUCUUGUUAAAUCCAAGAUGCCGUAGCAGUCGGACGUGUGUUUGUCUUGUCCCGUGUAUAUAGUCUUUCUUCGUUUUUUUCGUAUAUAUUUUAAUCUCACUUUCCAUCUAAUAACUAAAUAUAGUUUCCUGCAAUCCGCCUCACCCAAUGUGGUACAGAUAUGCUAUUUUUAUACUUUUUAACUGGAACCUCCAUCAGAGGCUAGCCAGCAAACUAGCUACAAGCUAGUAGUCAUUGUUAGCCACUGCUAGUGGUCUUCACUUUUAGCUCGGACACCAGCUAGCUUUAGCUCGGUCAAUACCUGCCAGUCUGCCCAGCGCGAUAUCAACCCAGAGCAUAUCGAAGCAUAUCAGACUGCUUUUCUCUACCACAUCACUGGAUUCCUGCCGCAAGCUCUAGACCAUUACACUGGAUCAUCGCAGCUAGCUAGCUGCAAUCGAGUGGCUAUUACUGGCUAACGCUCUGUCCUGAAGCAAGAACCAGUUAGCCUUGAGCUAGCCUCGAGCUAUGCCCAUCUCCCGACUGGCCGACGAAUGUAUACCAGCUAACUCUUGGGCUACAAUACCUCUUUUGCCAAUUGGCCUGGACCCUUUAUUGUCGACACCAAGCCCCGUUGAUCCAUCACGACUGGUCUGCUGACGUAAUCGUCCGAUGUGGCUUGAGGAUUUUCCAUUGCGAUGUCACCGAAGACCCAUCUGCUAGCUCCGGCCUGCUAGCUUUCUGAACGUCGUGGCUCCCGCUCGCCUAGCGUAGUAGCGACUACCAAACAGCUCCCUGACUCACAUAUUGCUGCUCAUUGGACCCUAUGAUCACUCAGCUACACAGCUGAUGCCUGCUGGACUGUUCACUAACAUGGUACCUCAUGUUGUUUAUCUGUCAACCCAAGCCUUGAACUCAGGUCCUGUGUGUACCUAACUGACCCUCUCUGCCCAUUCAUUGCCAUUUACCGUUGUUGUCCUAACUCUCCUGAUCAACACCUGUGAUUGCUUUAUGCCUCUCUCUAAUGUCAAUAUGCCUUUUCUCCUGCUAUUUCGGUUAGUUCUUAUUGUUUUAUUUCACUGUAGAGCCCCCAGUCCCACUCAACAUGCCUUAGAUAGCUCUGCUUCACGGCAGACUGGAACCAUUUAACACCAUUUUGAUUGUAGCUACAUUUUAUUUGGCCAGCAUUGUGUCAAUCAUUUUGUUUCAUAUUGACUGUGGUGUGUGCAGAAAGUAGCUCAUCACUUUUUCCAACUGAUCUGUCGAUAGCGCCUGCUAAAUUCAGGGCAUCAAUGUUGUUGAGAAAAUCAGAAAAACUUUUGUAGUUCUCUAUGGCUAACGUUGCAUCUUUCAAAAACAGAGCGGUAGAAAGGAAUAUCAACACAUACUGAGCAGUUUAUGUUAUAGACAGAAGCAAGCUACAUGGCACACCAAUCCAAAUUUACUUCCUGGAAUGUCCAGCCCAUUCAUUAUCUCAGCCAAUAAUGGAUAGCAGGAAAGUUCCUGUCUUUUUCCGUGGUUAAACCAACUAGUCUCGUAAUUUAAAUGUUUUAUUUGUAUUUACGGAUGGAAUACAAGUUUGUUAUUAACGCACAUGAAAGUUCACGUUCCAGAAGGCAUUUCUGCCAAAAAACACAGUUUUAUAAAAAAAAGAAUGUUUACUUUCAAAUGCCUCUCCUAUGAAGUAGUGACGUGUGACAUACGCCUAGUUUCCUGAACAUUUCACAAAUUCCCUUUCACAAUAAUCCAUGUGAAGUGUGAAAUAACCUUUUGGGGGAUCAACUCUAGAUGUAAAAGUCAUGCUAUUUUAUGCAAUUCAAAUUCAUUUUUUCAAAUUACAGGAGACAGAAGAGGUAUAUUAUAAAUAGUUUUCUUGGUUUUAGAACUUUAUUUUUGUGUCCAGUUAUUGCAAUUAAAAGUUAGCCUUGCCAUCUUCAGUAGCUAGCUAGCUAGCUACCUGAGCGAGUGUGCAGUUUUCUGCAUCAGAAUGGUAGAAUGUCCAAAGCUGCUGAAAACGUUGUGAACUUUUUGCAGAAAAAACCCUUUCAUUCUCUGGGGUACAUGGAAAAGGUGCAAAUUAAAAGCCAGGUUCAACCUCUGCCUGAGAUCAGUUUCAUGAAAAAGGAUGAGAAGGUUCAAUAUCAACUGGUAUCAAAAGUAUAACUGGUUAACAGGGAGACUUUCAUCAAGCUGCCUGAAUUGCUGGCCUUGCCUGCUUUUUGGAAAGUCUGACCCUUGGUCGAAAGUUGGGUACAAUGACCUGAAGAACAUCGAUCGAUCGAUCGAUCGAUCGAUCGUUCAGCUAAACGGCAAAACAAAAGCACGAGCAUAUAAAUGCCCACAUCAGAUUCAAGCUUCUGGGAAUAAACUGCAUAGAUAGAAGACACGACGAGAGGGAAAGUUCCGCCAACAAGGGCAACUACAAUGAGCUUGCAGAGCUGCAGUUUGAAAGGGGUUUCAUCCCUACCAUGGCCAGGAGACGGCCUACAGUUCGGAACCGACAGACGCUCCUCAGCCCUGAGUCUCCAGCGACGCUCCUCAGCCCUGAGUCUCCAGCGACGCUCCUCAGCCCUGAGUCUCCAGCGACGCUCCUCAGCCCUGAGUCUCCAGCGACGCUCCUCAGCCAGGAGUCUCCAGCGACGCUCCUCAGCCAGGAGUCUCCAGCGACGCUCCUCAGCCAGGAGUCUCCAGCGACGCUCCUCAGCCAGGAGUCUCCAGCGACGCUCCUCAGCCAGGAGUCUCCAGCGAGGCCGCGCAGCCCAGAGUUUUCAGAAUGGGGACUAAGCCCGGAGCCAGAGCC